CAGUAGCCGCGGUAAUACAGAGGGUGCGAGCGUUAAUCGGAUUUACUGGGCGUAAAGCGUGCGUAGGCGGCUUUUUAAGUCGGAUGUGAAAUCCCUGAGCUUAACUUAGGAAUUGCAUUCGAUACUGGGAAGCUAGAGUAUGGGAGAGGAUGGUAGAAUUCCAGGUGUAGCGGUGAAAUGAGUAGAGAUCUGGAGGAAUACCGAUGGCGAAGGCAGCCAUCUGGCCUAAUACUGACGCUGAGGUACGAAAGCAUGGGGAGCAAACAGGAUUAGAUACCCCCGUAGUCCCUGUCUCUUAUAC
rnacentral:rRNA from 1 species